UAAACACACUACAAUGGGAUAGAGUAGAGCCAACAAAAGAUAACUAAGCCAACAACGCCUUUAGAUUCUCUCUCUGCUGAAUUGUCAUCUCCGGCGAUGGCAUCUAUAUCACCGUCGGGACUCUCCCUCAGCAGCUCCUCCGCCGCUCUCCACCACCAGCUUCCUUGCCUGCUCUUCUUAUCUCCGCCGUGCCUAAAGUUUGCUACUUUCGGUAAAUGUUUCCUCUCCGUCCGCCGCAAGCAGUUUUCCGUUACCGCCAGCAGCAACACUUUGACGGCCAAUUCUGCACAGCCAACAAAUGGUGUAUAUACAGUAGGUGAUUUCAUGACGAGAAAAGAUAAGCUACAUGUGGUAAAGCCAUCAACAUCUGUAGAUGAAGCCUUGGAAUUGUUGGUAGAACGCCGAAUCACUGGUUUCCCUGUGGUUGAUGAUGACUGGAAAUUGGUUGGUCUUGUUUCUGAUUAUGAUCUAUUGGCUCUGGACUCUAUAUCAGGUACCGGAGGAGCUGAUGCAAAUAUGUUCCCGGAAGUGGGCAGCAACUGGAAAACAUUCAACGAGGUUCAAAAGUUGAUUAGUAAGACCAAGGGGAAAGUGGUUGGUGAUUUGAUGACACCUGCUCCCCUAGUAGUUCGGGAAUCUACCAACCUUGAGGAUGCAGCAAGACUUCUACUCAAAACAAAAUACCGACGGCUUCCUGUUGUUGAUAGUGAAGGUAAACUGGUGGGAAUAAUAACAAGGGGAAACGUUGUGAGAGCUGCCCUUCAUAUAAAACGGGUCAUUGAAAUGGAAGGCCAGCAGUGAUCAAUUGGAUUUAGCUGUAGAAGUGCAUAAAUGCAGUUCAAUUUGACAAGGCAAGAAUCAUAUGUUGUGCACAUAAUAGAGUAGAUAAUACAGUUCCACGGCUCCAUGAAAAAUAUGUUCGAGUCAAAACUCUUCACAGGUAUGAGCCACUGAAGAAUAUAUCAUUUGUAAUUGGAAGGAGAAUUUUAGGUGGACAUUAAAAAGAAUGCUUCUUUGAGGCUGCCAGCUUAUGGUGCCCCGGUAGUCUCGUCAUUGACGACAGUGAAGAAGCCACACAUGCAUUAAAAAAAAUUAGUAGCUUCUUUUCACACUUAAAACAUGUAAUAUAAAAUAAAUUCAACUUAAGUUACAAAUGUAUGAUUAUCAGGUUGGCUUACUAUGUUCAAAUGUAUGAUUAUCAGAUUGAAUUAA